rnacentral:lncRNA from 1 species
AUGACCCGGGGUGGGUGGUGGCCGCAGGCCGGGCUCUGGAACCUGUCCAAGAGGGGUGAAAUAUUCCAGCGUCAUGUCCAGGUGCCAACAAGAAAGCGAGUUUUAUUCUCUCUGGUCAGAUCGGACAGGUGCUGCGGAGGCUGGGGGUGCUGUGCUCAGGUGUGUGAAGAUAGGCAGCCUGGGAGUGUUUCCUCCGCCGCCUUCUCGUCAGACGGAAACCGGGUCCAGUUAAAGAGCCCAAGAGGAGCGUGGCUGGAAGCACAGCAGGGACUGGCUAGACAAACGGGAGCCAAUGACUGAUGCUAAAGCAGGAUUAAAAUGUAAAGGUGGUUACUGGAAGAAAGAUGGUGACUAUCAGCACUAAUGAUGAAGUUUAAUUCAUGGGAGGAGGGGCUCUAAAACCUGAGAGUAAGUCAGCCAAGGCAGGGGCCCGGAUGAUCACAGCCGUGCCCUCUGAAAGCACAGCAGUGAGGGACCCUGGGGAAGCCUCCAGCCCCACCAGGAGCCCCUGAGACCCAAACGCCACUCGCUCACUGUCAGCAGAGUCAGCAGAAAGAGAUGGUUUUGAUAAAACUGAAGUAAACAAGUUCAGAAAUAAAAGCUCCACGGAGGUGAUAAUUAAACCUGAGCUGGCUCUUUGAAAACAUUCUGUAAAAUGAACAAGCCCUGGAAAACGUGAUGGAGAAGAGUCAGUCCCCCGCUCCCCAGAAAAAGUGGAGGCAGGCGGGGUCAAGGGCGCGCUGGGCUCAGGUGGUGGUAGGGGGCCGCACCAAGGUGCCCCCGGUCCGGGUCAUUCUCGCCCCUCCGGCUGGAGGCAGUGGCAGACACACAGCUGAGCUCGGAGGAGACAUGGGUCAGAGCAGAGACUAAAAGGGGGCGGUGAGCCAGAGGGGAGAGGAUGGAGCCCUGGAACCGCGAGGGACGACCGUCCUGACGAAUAUCCCCAAACCAACCAGCUCACCGGGGACAUGAGCAUGAAAACCACCACCAUGACCAGCAGGUGGCCUGGGUCAGACCCCCCACCCCAGGUCAUGGGAGUGUGGGAACCUUUGCCAGCAUGUCCCCCAAACCUGGCCCACCCAGGAGAGGCUGGAGCGGGGGGAGGGGGUGGUCCCUGGCACCACACGGCAUGGGCCACCUGUAGUGGGUGGCCCAAGAGGGUCCUGUAGUCGAGACCCCAACCGACAGGCCUUAACCACUGAGCGCAGGGACGUCAAGGAUGUGAGAGCAGGUGACGGGUUCCGACGAG